ACAGAGGCGGCGUGUGAAGACAUGCAAGUCGAACGCUUAUUCAGCUGUAGCAAUACAGUUGAGUAGGAGUGGCGCAAGGGUGCGUAACACGUGGGUAAUUUGCCAUGAAGUUGGGGAUAACUUGCUGAAAGGCGAGCUAAUACCGAAUGUGGUUUUUGGGAGGCAUCUCCUGGAUACUAAAGUUGGGGAUCGUAAGACCUGACGCUUUAUGAUAAGCCCGCGGCCUAUCAGCUAGUUGGUGAGGUAACGGCUCACCAAGGCUAAGACGGGUAGCUGGUCUGAGAGGACGACCAGCCACACUGGAACUGAGACACGGUCCAGACACCUACGGGUGGCAGCAGUCGAGAAUUUUUCUCAAUGGGCGAAAGCCUGAAGGAGCGACGCCGCGUGGGGGAUGAAGGGUUUCGAUCCGUAAACCCCUGUCAUUUGUGAACAAUGUUUAUUUGUGAAUAACAGGUAAAUUGAUAGUAGCGAAAGAGGAAGGGACGGCUAACUCUGUGCCAGCAGCCGCGGUAAUACAGAGGUCCCAAGCGUUGUUCGGAUUCACUGGGCGUAAAGGGUGCGUAGGUGGUGGGGUAAGUUUGAUGUGAAAUCUCCGAGCUUAACUCGGAAAUGGCAUUGAAUACUAUUCGACUAGAGGUUUGGAGGGGGGACUGGAAUUCUCGGUGUAGCAGUGAAAUGCGUAGAUAUCGAGAGGAACACCGGUGGCGAAGGCGAGUCCCUGGACAACACCUGACACUGAGGCACGAAAGCUAGGGGAGCAAACAGGAUUAGAUACCCUGGUAGUCCUAGCCCUAAACGGUGCACGUUUGCUGUAAGAGGAAUCGACCCCUUUUGUGGCGUAGCUAACGCGAUAAACGUGCCGCCUGGGGAGUACGGUCGCAAGAUUAAAACUCAAAGGAAUUGACGG
rnacentral:rRNA from 1 species